GACGAACGCUGGCGGCGUGCUUAACACAUGCAAGUCGAACGGAAAGGCCCAGCUUGCUGGGUACUCGAAUGGCGAACGGGUGAGUAACACGUGGGUGAUCUGCCCUGGACUCUGGGAUAAGCCUGGGAAACUGGGUCUAAUACCGGAUAUGACCUUACAUCGCAUGGUGUUUGGUGGAAAGCUUUUGCGGUUCAGGAUGGGCCCGCGGCCUAUCAGCUUGUUGGUGGGGUAAUGGCCUACCAAGGCGACGACGGGUAGCCGACCUGAGAGGGUGAUCGGCCACACUGGGACUGAGACACGGCCCAGACUCCUACGGGAGGCAGCAGUGGGGAAUAUUGCACAAUGGGCGCAAGCCUGAUGCAGCGACGCCGCGUGAGGGAUGACGGCCUUCGGGUUGUAAACCUCUUUCACCAGGGACGAAGCGUGAGUGACGGUACCUGGAGAAGAAGCACCGGCCAACUACGUG
rnacentral:rRNA from 1 species